UGCCUUAGUAACGGCGAGUGAAGCGGCAAAAGCUCAGAUUUGAAAUCUGGCGUCAUUUUGGCGUCCGAGUUGUAAUCUGUAGAGGUGUAUUCGAGUGUGGCUUUGGCUUAAGUUCCUUGGAACAGGACGUCAUAGAGGGUGAGAACCCCGUUAACGGCCUUUGUCUUAUGCUCAUGUGAAUCUCCUUCAACGAGUCGAGUUGUUUGGGAAUGCAGCUCUAAAUGGGUGGUAAAUUCCAUCUAAAGCUAAAUACUGGCAAGAGACCGAUAGCGCACAAGUAGAGUGAUCGAAAGAUGAAAAGAACUCUGAACAGAGAGUUAAAUAGUACGUGAAAUUGUUGAAAGGGAAGCACUUGCGACCAGACGCACUUGCAGCUGAUCAACUUCCAUUCUUGGAGGUGCACUCAGUUGUUUGUGGGUCAGCAUCAGUUAUGGCGGUGGGAAAAAGACCAAGGGAAUGUGGCUCCUUUCGGGGAGUGUUAUAGCCCCUGGUGAAAUGCUGCCUGCUGUGACUGAGGACCGCGCUUCGGCGAGGAUGCUGACAUAAUGGUCGUAAGUGACCCGUCUUGAAACACGGACCAAGGAGUCUAACAUCUAUGCGAGUGUUUGGGUGUUCAAACCCUUACGCGUAAUGAAAGUAAAUGGAGGUGGGAACCGUAAGGUGCACCAUCGACCGAUCCUGAUGUUCUCGGAUGGAUUUGAGUAGGAGCAUAGCUGUUGGGACCCGAAAGAUGGUGAACUAUGCCUGAAUAGGGUGAAGCCAGAGGAAACUCUGGUGGAGGCUCGCAGCGGUUCUGACGUGCAAAUCGAUCGUCAAAUUUGGGUAUAGGGGCGAAAGACUAAUCGAACCAUCUAGUAGCUGGUUCCGGCCGAAGUUUCCCUCAGGAUAGCAGUAACGAUUAAUAGUUUUAUGAGGUAAAGCGAAUGAUUAGAGGCCUUGGGGUUGGAACAACCUUAACCUAUUCUCAAACUUUAAAUAUGUAAGAAGUCCCUGUUACUUAAUUGAACGUGGACAUUGGAAUAUACGUUACUAGUGGGCCAUUUUUGGUAAGCAAAACUGG
rnacentral:rRNA from 1 species